UACGUAGGUGGCAAGCGUUGUCCGGAUUUACUGGGCGUAAAGAGCGCGCAGGCGGUCGUGCAAGUCGCGUGUGAAAGCCCCCGGCUCAACUGGGGAGGGUCACGCGAUACUGCUCGACUUGAAGGCAGGAGAGGGAAGUGGAAUUCCCGGUGUAGUGGUGAAAUGCGUAGAUAUCGGGAGGAACACCAGUGGCGAAGGCG
rnacentral:rRNA from 1 species